UCACUUACCUGGACGGGGUCGACGGGCGAUCAACAAGGCCCGUGGCCUGGGUCAAUGGCCCACAUUGCACUUGGUGGGUGCGUUGGCCCAUCAUCUCCCCAAGUGGGAGAAUGAACGUCAUAAUUUGUGAUAAAGGGGGUACGCGUUCGCGCGGCCCCUG
rnacentral:snRNA from 1 species